GCUUACUCUGUAUGCUCAAAUGUGGCCCGUUAUAGCCAACAGAAAAAAAGCGGAGGCCCGAAAAACAGGUGGGGGUCCUCCACCACCACCACUCACAGAGGCUGAGCAGUUGGCCCUCAGCCAAAACAGUGGGCGCCCUGUGGCCGAAGGCAUCUCUGCGGGGACAUCCUCUGAGUCAAUAACCCCGCAAGACACAAGUGCCUACAUAGGGGGAAAAUAAUGAAGAAACAUUGACAGCUGUUACAGAGGAGGAAGCAACAGAGACACUUUAUGAGGUUUACAUCUUUUAAUACUUUGUGUACAGGAAACACAGGUGACCAAUAAAGCCAGUUGAACAUAAAAUCUGUUUAUUCUUCUUUCAACAUGUUGAGGUGAUGGGUCAAAAGAAAUGAUUGUGACAUAUGGUGUCUCUGACUGCGCUUCCAUCUUGUAUGUCCGUGGGAGGGUCAGGAUGUUCAUGGUUUGGAUCACUGCUGAUGUUUGGUUCAGAAGGACAGUGUUCUCCUCUAAUUGUGGCAAUGUUGUGAAGAAUCACACAUGCCACAAUAAUGUCACAUGCCCUUUCUGGGGUGACCCUGAGUCUUUGCAGGCACUGGAACCGGGCCUUAAGCAUUCCGAUAGUCAUUUCAAUUCUGGCUCUUGUCCUGCAAUUAGCCAGAUUAUAUCGCUGCUGUGGGCCCGGUUCAGGGUCAGGGUAAGGGGUA